GGAUAACGGCUGGAAACGGUCGCUAAUACCGCAUAACAUACCGGGAGGACAUCCUGCUGGUAUCAAAGAUUUAUCGCUCGAAGAUGGGCUCGCGUCCGAUUAGGUAGUUGGUGAGGUAACGGCUCACCAAGCCGACGAUCGGUAGCCGGACUGAGAGGUUGAACGGCCACAUUGGGACUGAGACACGGCCCAGACUCCUACGGGAGGCAGCAGUGGGGGAUAUUGCACAAUGGGGGAAACCCUGAUGCAGCGACGCCGCGUGUGGGAAGACGGUCCUCUGGAUUGUAAACCACUGUCCCCAGGGACGAAGAUGACGGUACCUGGGGAGGAAGCCCCGGCUAACUACGUGCCAGCAGCCGCGGUAAUACGUAGGGAGCGAGCGUUGUCCGGAAUUACUGGGUGUAAAGGGAGCGUAGGCGGGGAUGCAAGUUGGGUGUCAAAACUACCGGCUCAACUGGUAGUCGCACUCAAAACUGCAGCUCUUGAGUGAAGUAGAGGCAGGCGGAAUUCCUAGUGUAGCGGUGAAAUGCGUAGAUAUUAGGAGGAACACCAGUGGCGAAGGCGGCCUGCUGGGCUUUUACUGACGCUGAGGCUCGAAAGUGUGGGGAGCAAACAGGAUUAGAUACCCUGGUAGUCCACACCGUAAACGAUGAUUACUAGGUGUGGGGGGUCUGACCCCUUCCGUGCCGGAG
rnacentral:rRNA from 1 species